rnacentral:rRNA from 1 species
AGAGUUUGAUCCUGGCUCAGGACGAACGCUGGCGGCGCGCCUAACACAUGCAAGUCGAACGAGCGAGAGAGAGCUUGCUUUCUCGAGCGAGUGGCGAACGGGUGAGUAACGCGUGAGGAACCUGCCUCAAAGAGGGGGACAACAGUUGGAAACGACUGCUAAUACCGCAUAAGCCCACGGCUCGGCAUCGAGCAGAGGGAAAAGGAGUGAUCCGCUUUGAGAUGGCCUCGCGUCCGAUUAGCUAGUUGGUGAGGUAACGGCCCACCAAGGCGACGAUCGGUAGCCGGACUGAGAGGUUGAACGGCCACAUUGGGACUGAGACACGGCCCAGACUCCUACGGGAGGCAGCAGUGGGGAAUAUUGCACAAUGGGGGAAACCCUGAUGCAGCGACGCCGCGUGGAGGAAGAAGGUCUUCGGAUUGUAAACUCCUGUUGUUGAGGAAGAUAAUGACGGUACUCAACAAGGAAGUGACGGCUAACUACGUGCCAGCAGCCGCGGUAAAACGUAGGUCACAAGCGUUGUCCGGAAUUACUGGGUGUAAAGGGAGCGCAGGCGGGAAGACAAGUUGGAAGUGAAAUCCAUGGGCUCAACCCAUGAACUGCUUUCAAAACUGUUUUUCUUGAGUAGUGCAGAGGUAGGCGGAAUUCCCGGUGUAGCGGUGGAAUGCGUAGAUAUCGGGAGGAACACCAGUGGCGAAGGCGGCCUACUGGGCACCAACUGACGCUGAGGCUCGAAAGUGUGGGUAGCAAACAGGAUUAGAUACCCUGGUAGUCCACACCGUAAACGAUGAUUACUAGGUGUUGGAGGAUUGACCCCUUCAGUGCCGCAGUUAACACAAUAAGUAAUCCACCUGGGGAGUACGACCGCAAGGUUGAAACUCAAAGGAAUUGACGGGGGCCCGCACAA